AUUGAACGCUGGCGGCAUGCCUUACACAUGCAAGUCGAACGGUAACGCGGGGCAACCUGGCGACGAGUGGCGAACGGGUGAGUAAUAUAUCGGAACGUGCCCAGUAGUGGGGGAUAGCCCGGCGAAAGCCGGAUUAAUACCGCAUACGACCUAUGGGUGAAAGCGGGGGGUCGCAAGACCUCGCGCUAUUGGAGCGGCCGAUAUCAGAUUAGGUAGUUGGUGGGGUAAAAGCCUACCAAGCCGACGAUCUGUAGCUGGUCUGAGAGGACGACCAGCCACACUGGGGCUGAGACACGGCCCAGACUCCUACGGGAGGCAGCAGUGGGGAAUUUUGGACAAUGGGCGCAAGCCUGAUCCAGCCAUGCCGCGUGCGGGAAGAAGGCCUUCGGGUUGUAAACCGCUUUUGUCAGGGAAGAAAUCUUCUGAGCUAAUACCUCGGGAGGAUGACGGUACCUGAAGAAUAAGCACCGGCUAACUACGUGCCAGCAGCCGCCGCCGUAA
rnacentral:rRNA from 1 species